rnacentral:rRNA from 1 species
CCCUACGGGGCGCAGCAGCCGCGGUAAACCUCUGCAAUGGGCGAAAGCCUGACAGGGUUACUCUGAGUGAUUUCCGCUAAGGAGAUCUUUUGGCAGCUCUAAAAAUGGUGCA